UCCGACCGACGGGCGAGGGUCCACGAGAAACGCCUCCCUAAGUGGUCGUGGGAGUUCGGUGCUGCGGACGUUUUCCCGAAUAUCCUCGCACGCCACCAGCUCUAUUUCCUUAUUCCUCUUUCACCAAACCAUUUACCUGUCCAGUUAUAACGUGCAAGGUGUUUCCCUAAGGUCCUUUGUACUGAUUUCUCACUCCUCUACACGGCUUGUGAAAAACCAUUGUUUAGAGUCCUCCAAACAUUUAGGUCUCAAGACUGGCUUCGGCUGUGCAAAGGGUGAUCUAGACACUGUGUUUUCCUGCCACCCUGUUUGAACCACAUCAGUAACUUUCCUUCCAAAGUGUACAGAGGUAAUGGGAAAAGAAGAAACCAUCAGCUGAGCUAGGGUGCUAAAAGUUUUGAAACAGUGGCUGCAACAUCUUCCUAACAAGUAAACAUUUCAGGGUAAUACAGGAGAAACCCUUCCAGUUUAAGCAGUUCUCAUAUAAACAAAGGAGUUCUACACUGAUGCUCAAAUCUUCAGGCUUAAGCAAUUUCAAAACAACUCUGUCGAGAAGGAAGGACCUUUAGUGACUCUGCUCAUCCAUUCAUUUGGCUUCCAUUUACUGAACAUUGGACAGAGUUCCUGUGCCUCAUGCUUGUGAAAUACACAGAGCAAGAGAAGGUCUUGCCCCCAAGAGGCUCACCAUCCAGAAUAACCUUUUGAGGUCAAAAAGCCCUUAGGAAAUUUGAUGAUAGUUGCAAACUCCUAGAAAAAUGCAGACAGAAGACUGCAGACAAUUUCAGGGAAUCAUAGGUUCCCCUGAGGGAAAUCAUCCAUGGAUUCAAAUGAAUUUACCCUUGAUCAACAGAGAGGCAAAUGUGGAUUCAUAAUACCCAGUUCCAACCACCUGCUAGUUUGUUUCAUCACUGUUUUGGAUUGUGAUUUAAUACCUUUCAAGAUUCUAUGAAGUGAAUGGACUCUAAAUCCCCAAGGACACACAUCAGAUCCCAGAGUCUUAGAUGUGGUUGUGGGUCCCCCACUCCUAUGACAUCUAGGAAAGGCCACUGCUAUUCUUUUAUUCUUUUUUGAGAGAAAGUAGAAUUAAAAGUAAUACAGUACCACCCCACUUCCUCACCUGCAGGACAUCCAAGUUGAACCUUAGGUAGCCAAGAUUACACUCCACUUCUUAUGGGGUUAUCUAUGUAAAUUCAUCUCUCAAGGCUGCCCUCAGAAAGGCUGGCCUGGGGUACAUCAGUGCAGCUAACACAAUCCAUGUGCGCACAGAUUCCCUCCCUCUCCCCGACCCAAAAAAGUGUUGACCCUGGUUUCUGAGACCCUUAGUACCUCAGCCUUGGCACAGCUCCCCUUAGUGAGGGCUUCUUUGUGAAGCCCUUCCUUCCAAGUGAAGGUAGGUUUGCCAAAGAUUUUUCAGGGAAAAUCAAUAGAACAAAGCACCUCAGACAGAGGGGAAAAGGAAAACCUCAAGCACAGACCUCCCUGGCACAGACCUAAGCAGUCUCCAUAUCCUAUGGGUAAGGCGCUGGUUCUGUAACAAAAAAAAAAAAAAAAAAAAA